UAGUUGACAUUGCCCAAGCUUUGAUUACACACAGAAGUUAAGAGUCAUGGUACGCCUCACCACAGCAGACAGCAAAGAUACUUCUAGAAAAUGGAAAAGAAAUUCCUAGCCAACUCUGGACAAAAAAAACCCAAAAAAAACAACCCAACUCACCCCACCCAAGAAUAAAAGGUUGGUUUAUGUUGAGAAGCCAGACAAAGACCAACAAUAAAUGAGAAGAGACGGAGACAAAAGCUGGUUGGUAGAAACAGGCAGGUGCUCUUUAUUUCAUGUGGCACAGCAUUAGGCAGACAACCCAAGAAACAGUUUCCAACAAAAACCAAAGCUAUAACUUCCAGGAACCAUCCCCCAAACAAGGGUCUACUACCAACAGUGGCACUGAGAUGUCCUUGCCUGUCCACUCUCAUCUCCUCAUAGUUUAUAUGCGCUUAGGCGAUAUCUUAGUGGUGAGUGUCCUUUCCAAGGAGACUAACUUCCUACAAUGCAAUAUAUCUUUAGACAGCGUACAUACUGUGCAGGAUCACCAGAGUACAAUCUCCUCAAGCCAUGCUAAAAUAUAAUGCUAACUCUGGAGAGAAGGCUGUGCGAUCGCCUCGUGUCUCUCUGAGGUAAUGCAAUGCUGUUCCUUAGCUGACAACAUGAGGGGCACCUAAAGGAGGAUCAAUAUGGCUUCAGAGUCUAUUUUUAAACUCCUGAUGCACUAGCGGGGACCUGGUGUGCCACCAGGUGAGGAUCUCUUCCACCCCUGACCGCCACUGGGCACCAGCAGCAUCAGAGAGCUGAGUCUACUGUCACUCAGGGGGAUGAGAGCAGAGAUGGUCUUGGGCUAGGAGGAGGAGGAGGAGGAAGGAGAGGAGAAGAGGGCCAUCAAAGAUCACAACAGACCAUCAGCUUUGUGUCGGUCAUUAGGUGAGAGGUAACAAUGACGGCGGGGCAGGGAGGGGUUACAUCGUUAGCACUCCAGAUUUAAAGGCAUGAAGAAUGGCUGGUGGAAGGAAGAUGUUUUGGAGACUAAGGGCAAAGGUUUAAAAGUCUUGUGAUAUUACUUUUAAUUAUUAUCUACAGGUUAUUCUCUCUAUAUAUACUAUUUUCCUUUCUAAAUUAUGAAAAUAAACAUUUAUUAACAAGUCACUGGGUCAAAUCCUGCUCUCCACUGAAGGCAAAUCCAUUGACUUCAGUGGGAGGGAGCCCCGUGUAAACAACGAAGGGCAAAUUUGGCCCUUUAUGUCCUGAAAAGUCUGCUUGUACCCACUGCCUUUCAAUCCUGCAAGGAAAUACAGACUAAAGGGUGAACUAAUCCUUACAAAUUUCUCUUAAACUAGCAGGGGAGUGUCAGUGAGAUGCAGCAAAGGAGCAAAAAAAAAAAAAAAAGGAAACCAAUAAGUAAUACUGCUGUAAAGAGAAUUUUAUCCAUGUUUCAGAGCCAAAAUACAAAAAGAGAGUGGAUCUGGAUCAAGCGCUACUGGCCUUUACUUUCUAAGCAACAACAAAAUUCUUCAUUUAGCUUUGGUGAAAUGUUACACAACCAGAGAAAACAGAAGGAACCAAACAGUCCUUUUCCUUUGCAAACAUCAUAUGCCCAAAGGUGAACACUGUCAUCCCUUUGGAUUCUCCACUAACUCCCACUGUCUGCACAGUGCAGUGUCAGCCACUGAAGACAAAACACAUCUACUGUGCACUUGAGUGAAACCUAUGGUGUUUUACAAACAUAACAUUUUGAUGUUUUGAAUACUAAGGACCACUAGGUGCUUUUAGACACAGAACAAUACGAUUUCAGAUGCAUUUACCACUUUUAUUUCACUAUGCAGAAACAUACAUUCACCAUGUGUUGUGAUGCAGCUGACAGUGUAAUGGACACUAUUCCUUCCGUGGGUAUUAGAGCUGGACACUAGCGAGUUUUCAGUGGACGUUCUGUACAGGUUAAGGCUUGACUCAGAACUAGAUAGUAAAUGCUGACCAGAUUCUCAAACAGAUUUUUUUUUUUCUCUGAGAACAAAAGGGAAAUCAAUAGAAAACCAUCACGGUUAUUUCAGAUUAAUAAUUUUCUAAAGCUGCAAACUAAGUAAAAUACAGAUUUUUUUUUUUCUCCAAAAUAACUACAUAUAAUUUACAAGGUUAGGAUCUGUGAAGGGUGACUGGAAGCUGACUCUGAACAAUGCUGACAAAAAUCAUUAAAGUUAAUAUACUAAAAUCAUUGCUACCUCAUAAGGUAUUCAGUCAGGUAUACAAAGCACACUUUGUAAGCAUUUAUAUGUUUUGAUAAGAGUAAAGAUUCAUCAUUGUUUAUGGGGCAGUAAUAAAACCAGAUGAAACAAAUAUAAGAUUCAAGUUGUUUACUGAAUAAACUGUGUUAUUGGCACAUCUAAUGUGUGGUAAAACAUUAUACACAGUACCUAUACAGCUUCUAGCAUUUUCGGGGUAAUCUUCAUUUACAGUAUCCGUAAACAAAAGGCUUGCCACCUAACAAAUUUUAAUUUGUUUAGACUUUCAGAAAUUGUGAAAGGCAUGAACUGUUUAUGUGUUACAUGAGAUCACUCUUUAUAUUGUUUAUGAACGUGCAGGUAAAGCUGAAAACUUAGACAUUUUAAGAAAAUUAAAAAUGCUGCUUUUCUGUAAUUUUUUUGUUGCUUCAUGCAAUAUUGUUUAACUGCUGCUGAUUCAGAUUGCUUUCUAUGGGAAGGUAUCUCUGCCAGUUUCUUUAUUAACGGUCAAGAUCAAUUCUUCUGUACUGAAAUUUUCCAUAGACAGAUACAAGUCAGUCAGGUUGGAACUGAGACUCCGUAUAGGUUCUCGUAUUCCUACUGGUAUGCAUGUCUGGAUUCAUAUGCAUUCUAGGUUAUUCCUGCAGAAAAGAGAACUGAGUUAAUUAUUCAAAACAACUACUCUCUUGCAAAAGAGAUUUGUCAAUUUGUUCAUACAAGAAAAGCUGUUAGAAAAUGGCAUAUCCCACUACAAGCAACUUGGACCAAAUCCAAAGUCCACUGACGCCAAUGGAAAGAAUUAGCGACAUCAAUAGACUUUUAAGCAAGCCACAUUGAGCUGUCUCUGACACAAUUAGCAGAAUACCACAAGAAUCACAGCUACUCACUCCUUAGUGACUGGUUCCAUCUUCCAAAUAAAUAACUGACACUGAAAUUCAGUUUUCUUUAGGGUCUGUAUAUCCAAAAGCAGGAAAGCCAAAGAGCUUCAAAAGGUGCUGUGCAUUAUACUCUGUUACUUACACCAAGUGCUAGAGAAUACAUAUUGUUUUAAGAAUAAAAUGCUGCUAUCGAUUCAACAAAUCUGACAAGCAGCUUUUUCUUCCCCUUCUCCAUACAGCAUUCAAAGCAAUUUGUGCAAUGGUGCUGGCAUUAAGAGCUUUUGCAUAGCAGGUUAGUAUGCAUGACAUGUUUCUGCACACAGAAUAAAUAUAGGAAUAUUGAGACGUCUGUUUAGCCAGCCACUAUUGGAGAGCAUGCCUUUGCUGAGAAAAAGCUGGACGCAAGGAAAGCUGCAUUAUCAUCUCAUCCUGAUAAACAAUGCUGCUUUAAAACAUUAAAUGUUCUUUCAAGUACAAGAAAGCCAAGACACCCAAAUACCGACAAACUAAGUCACUGCAUUUAAAAGCAAGUUGGACCAUAUCUUUGCAAGUCGGGAAUUGAAGCAUAACUUUUAACAUAUCUGCACAAGACAUUUAAAAAGCAGCUGUAGGUUUUUUCCCUUGGCAUUUUUAAACAAAAAUGCACACCUUCAAGAACAAAUUUUUUUUUGCUCUUAAAUGGCACAAAAGCAGACAACAGAUUUUUUAUGACUUCAGAAGUAGGAAAUUAGACUGUAACAAAGCAUGGACAAUGAGGACUUUUCAGAGAGCCAACAAAAGCAAAUGAGUAGUUUCUCUUUCUCCAGCUGGCACUGUUUAAUGAAAGCAGAUGUCUAGAGCUGAAUGUGGUUUACUUUCAAAUAUCAGAACUGAUAACCAGAAACUUGAAAAUGCCAGUGAGAGAAAGCGAAGAGUUAAAGGUGAAGUAUGGUAGGAAAACAACAUCUGCAACAUGCCAGCCCAGUAAAUGCCUAGGAAAAUCAUCUGGUCCUCUUACCUGUGGUCAAUCCUCCCCAUCUUCUGGUGUGAUUUCUGUCUCUUUAUGAACCACUACUUUGGUCACUGACAUGUCAGGGUGCUGCUCUUUGGCUUCUUUAAUUGCCUGAGCCAGCGCCUAUCCCAAGGAAACCACAGAAGGGCAAAAACAAAAAGGAGGUGGAACAUGCAUGAUCAAUAGCAAGGUGGAGAGAUUCAUGACAUAUUACACAAUUUACAAAUGAGGAAAAUGAUUAAAAUAUGAAAUAUACCAUCACUGAUUUAACUACUAUUCCAGUUUAAUAUAAGAUAUGGCAGUAUGGGUAAUAUCUGUCAAAGCAAUGUUUAGAAAUGUUCUCUUUUUCAGUCUCCAGGGUAUCCUUUUUAGCAGUUUGUAUAUUUUACCUGAUCAUGAUCAAUAUCUGCAUCUCCUGUGAUGACUAUUCGUUUUUCAAUUCUUGUCUCUGAGAUGCCUCCUUUCACAGUCUAGAUGAGAGGGACAAAAACGCAUGUCAGUAACUCACUUUAGAGUGCUGCUACUCAUCCCCAGAACGAUCAGUGCAGGAACCCUCUCAUGACUGGACUGUAACAGCUCAAAGAGGGGACAACCUGGACUGCAAGUGAGCAGCUCUGGAGUUGGCCUGAACGCUCUGAAUGGACUAAUGACCUCCAGAUGUCCUUCCAACACAGUUUCAUCAAUGUUCU